rnacentral:misc_RNA from 1 species
AACAUGGCUGCUUGUUGGGAGAGCAGAUUCAGCUUCCCUUUCCAUACCAAAAAAAACAUACCCUGUAUAUAAUAAUUGCAGUUCUCAAUGGAGAAGACAGACCUUGAACUUGCUGUUGCUGCCCGUACCGUCUGUGCUUAAACGACAUCGUGAUUGCAACUACACAUUGGGGUACUUAACGCCAAGCAACAGGCAUCAGUGCUAGCACAUCUUGGUGAAAGAACGGAAAUCUCUCACAUUAUAUAACGGUUUAUUUUAUCUUGUCUACAUUUUUGAGAUGUUUGGAUCCCAUCUGUGCUUCCCAACUCGGUCUGAU